UCCCAGGGGGCGCCGCGGCCCGGGCGGCCUGGUUGAACCCCUCACCGCCGCACCCCGGACCCCGCGAAGCUGCCAGGAGGGGCUGGACGCUGGGACCCGCCUGGUGGCCAGUUUAUGGUGGGCUUGCCCGCGUGUGCGCAUCCGUCCGUCCGUCGACCCGUCCGUCCGUCCAUCCAUCCAUCCAUCCAUCCAUUCUUGCAUCCAACAUUUACUGAGCGCAUCCUCUGUGCCAGCUUUUCCCACCACACUGAUUCAGCCUGCAAGGAGAGAAGAAGCAUCUGAACCCUCUGAACUCCAAUUCAGGAAUUUACAAUUGUCUCAGACUUGGUGGAAGACAAGAGUCCUGUCUCUGGCUGAGGAAAACUAAAAUGCCAGACUGGAAAUGUUGAAAGAUGCUGCCAUGGAUAUGUGUUUUCUCAUUUGAAUUGAAGACAGAAGAUUCUUAGUGG